GACGAACGCUGGCGGCGUGCUUAACACAUGCAAGUCGAACGGAAAGGCCCUGCUUUUUCGGGGUGCUCGAGUGGCGAACGGGUGAGUAACACGUGAGUAACCUGCCCUUGACUUUGGGAUAACUUCAGGAAACUGGGGCUAAUACCGGAUAGGAGCUCCUGCUGCAUGGUGGGGGUUGGAAAGUUUCGGCGGUUGGGGAUGGACUCGCGGCCUAUCAGCUUGUUGGUGGGGUAGUGGCUUACCAAGGCUUUGACGGGUAGCCGGCCUGAGAGGGUGACCGGCCACAUUGGGACUGAGAUACGGCCCAGACUCCUACGGGAGGCAGCAGUGGGGAAUAUUGCACAAUGGGCGGAAGCCUGAUGCAGCAACGCCGCGUGCGGGAUGACGGCCUUCGGGUUGUAAACCGCUUUCGCCUGUGACGAAGCGUGAGUGACGGUAAUGGGUAAAGAAGCACCGGCUAACUACGUG
rnacentral:rRNA from 1 species